UACGUAGGGGGCUAGCGUUGUCCGGAAUCAUUGGGCGUAAAGAGCGUGUAGGCGGUCCGGUAAGUCCGCUGUGAAAGUCGGGGGCUCAACCCUCGAAUGCCGGUGGAUACUGUCGGGCUAGAGUGCGGAAGAGGCGAGUGGAAUUCCUGGUGUAGUGGCGAAAUGCGUAGAUAUUGGGAGGAACACCAGUGGCGAAGGCGGCUACCUGGACCGGUUCUGACGCUGAGGCGCGAAAGCGUGGGUAGCAAACAGG
rnacentral:rRNA from 1 species